AUGGAGGCCGGAGCCACGGUGAGCGCCGUGUCCUUUUUCCUGGCGUGCUUGGCGGCGGCUGUGCAGCCAACGUUGGCAGCCAAGGCCGGAAGGGGUGGGAUCUUGCAUAUCCCUUCCGCCGCCGGGCUCGCUCGGGCUCGCUGCCCUUACAGGUGCGGUGGUGUCGCCAUUUACUAUCCGUGGGGGAUAGGGCCUGGCUGCUUCCGGCAAGGCUUCGAGCUCACCUGCGACAACACCGCUGGUCAUAAAACGCUCUUUCUGGCCAAUACUACCACUGAGCUCUUUGGCCUGAAGCCCGGAUCUCGCAGUUUCUGGACACCUGCCAUCCAUUUCAAUGUCACCAUGAAGCCAGGUAUGAAUGACACCUAUAACAUGUCAUGGGAGGCCCCUGUUUAAGGUGUUAUGGCCUCUGAACAAACAAGCUUGUUCGUUGUUGGUUGUGGUGUGGGCGUCUACUUAUUUGGCCAUAAUACCAACGAUCCCAUCGGUAGUUGCAUGAGUAUUUGCCUAGACGACAAAGUGGCCAUGGAGGAGGCAAAUCUAACCCGCGACUACUUUCGUGAUAUUGGGAUGGGCUACUGUCGCAUCCAAUUGGCGCAGGACAUGCGAGCAUUUAGGUUUGUAGUUGACCGCCUCAAUGGUGGCGUCUUAGCACAAUCAGGUCAAGGUCAAGGUCUCCCUACUGGUAUCAAAGUUUUCCUGGCGGGGAAAUAUAAUUUUCAUGUUGCCGACAUCUAUUCAGGUCGGGUAGACAAAAGAAACAUUGAUGAUGCAUUUCUUGGAAUGGCCAUCACGGAUCAACCAAGCUGUGAUAGUGCUCAGAAGAAAAAGUCAAGCUAUGCUUGUGGCCAAAACAGCGAUUGCGUGGAUAUGCCAUCUGGAGGCUACUCCUGUCGCUGCCGCCCUGAUACAGACGACAAAAAUACGUACCUUAUGGAUGGUUGUCAACAACCCACAUUACAAUACCAAUCCUAAAGGAGGUUGCACCAGAUUUUGCGGGAACACAAGCAUUCCCUUCCCUUUUGGGCUUGAAAAAGGUUGCUAUGCUGCUGAAAUGUUUCGACUUAACUGUACAUCAGAAAAUACCAAUUUUUUUGAUCAAAGGGGCAAAUACAUUGUGGCAAACAUUCCAGUGAAUGAAGGAUAUCUUAGUGUUAGAAAAACACAAAACAACUCAAAGUAUGGUGAUGAAGAGCUCAUGGUGCUAGUUGUUGUAGGCAAGGAGGACUGGCAAGUAGGACUCAUGCCUCUAGAUGGCUUUUAUUUAUGUGAAGAAUACAAUAUGAAGAUGUGGUGGUCUGUCGAUAAUAUAACUUGUCCAGAUGCUAUGAGCAAGGAAAGAAGAGCUACGUACGCAUGCCGCAGUGUUAAUAGUAGAUGCAUUCCUGUCACCUGCGGCCACCGGAAUGGGACGAUGCAGCUCGGCUAUCGUUGCCAGUGCUCUCACGGUUAUGAUGGAAAUCCAUAUAUACCGGAUGGUUGCGAAGAUGUCAACGAGUGUUUGUUGAUGAAUACUUGCAGUGGCGUAUGCCAAAAUUUUCCUGGAGGCUAUAGUUGCGGAAGUUGUACUUAUGGAAAAGAGUUUGAUCCAAGAAAAAGGAGAUGUGUCAAGAGACGCAAUCUUCUCAUAGGUAUUGCAAUUGGAAUUGGUUGUGGCCUGGGUGCCAUAAUACUUGCGCUAGGUGCAAAGGCACUUGUUAGCAAGUGGAAGAGAGGCACAAAAAAGAGAAUACGAAGGGCGUACUUCGAGAAAAAUCAAGGCCUACUCUUGGAACAACUAAUAUUAGAUGAAAGCUCCACUGAUAAAAUGAAGAUACUCUCCUUGGAGGACUUAAAUAAAGCAACCAAUAAUUUUGAUGUCAGUCGUGUUCUUGGCUGUGGAGGACAUGGCACGGUUUAUAAAGGAAUUCUAUCUGAUCAACAUGUAGUGGCCAUCAAAAAGUCAAAGCUAGUGGAGCAAACUGAGAUUGACCAGUUUAUCAAUGAGGUUGCCAUCCUUUCACAGAUCAUUCAUCGGAAUGUGGUCAAGCUUUUUGGUUGUUGUCUCGAAACAGAAGUACCUUUGCUAGUUUAUGAGUUCAUAUCCAAUGGCACACUAUAUGAUCUUCUUCACAUUGAUGUAAGUGUUAAAUGCUUACUUUUAUGGGGUGAUCGCAUUAGGAUUGCUGUAGAAGUUGCAGGUGCUCUUGCUUAUCUCCAUUCAGCUGCUGCGAUACCAAUUUUGCAUAGAGAUGUCAAAUCUUCCAAUAUACUCCUAGAUGGCAACUUUACUACCAAGGUUUCUGAUUUUGGUGCUUCAAGAUCUUUAUCACUUGAUCAAACACAUGUAGUGACAAUUGUACAAGGAACUUUUGGUUAUUUAGACCCAGAGUACUACCACACUGGGGAACUGAGUAAUAAGAGUGAUGUUUAUAGCUUUGGAGUUAUACUGGUGGAGCUUCUGAUGAGAAAGAAGCCAAUUUUUAUUAACGAACAAGGUAUAAAACAAAGCUUGGCUCAUUACUUUGUGGAAGGACUUCAGCACGGUGUCCUCACGGAAAUCAUGGAUCGCAAGUGGUGGAAGAAGCGAAACAGAAUGAAAUUGAUGAUAUUGCCUCAAUCGCGGAAGCAUGCUUGAAAGCCAAAGGAAGAGAAAGGCCUACCAUGAAAGAGGUAGAAAUGAAGUUGCAACUCCUAAGAACUAAAAGAUUAAGGAGCCAACUUCCUCCCAUCAAUGAUGGAGAGAUUGAGUCAUUUGGGUAUCUAAAUGGCGCUAGCUCUCAUGCACAGAGCAACAACAUUAUCAGUAAUGUUGGCUUAACACCUACAUGCAUCUCCGGAAAGUAUAGUUUGGAGCAAGAGUUUUUGAAUUCAGCCAGCUUGCCACGCUAG
rnacentral:rRNA from 1 species